UUCUCUCAGUACCUGUGCCUUAACUAGAUGGGAACCCGCAAAGUCUGGUGAUAAGACCGUGUGCGACAGCUUCCUGAAGACUCUGAAAACUAAACAAAAGCAGGCAAAAGAGGAGAGGAAACCAGACCUUGAAGUGGGAUUGAUUCUGGUGGUCAAUUUCUAGGAGUGGAAUGGCUUAAUCAUAUACUGG